UCCUCUGUAAAGCAGCUGCUCUAGGAAGUCUGUGCACUUAGAUAAGCAGCAAAGGAUGUGGACGCACGCAUUU